rnacentral:rRNA from 1 species
UACGUAGGGGGCAAGCGUUGUCCGGAAUCAUUGGGCGUAAAGAGCGUGUAGGCGGCCCGAUAAGUCCGCUGUGAAAGUCCUGGGCUCAACCCUGGAAUGCCAGUGGAAACUGUCGGGCUAGAGUCCGGAAGAGGCGAGUGGAAUUCCUGGUGUAGCGGUGAAAUGCGCAGAUAUCAGGAGGAACACCGAUGGCGAAGGCAGGUCUCUGGGCCACUACUGACGCUGAGAAGCGAAAGCAUGGGGAGCGAACAGG